rnacentral:rRNA from 1 species
CACGUAGUUAGCCGGGGCUUUCUGCUCAAGUACUGUCAACGUUUCAGUCUGUUCGACUGAAACGGAUUCAUCCUUGAGAACAGAGCUUUACAAUCCGAAGACCGUCAUCACUCACGCGGCGUUGCUCCGUCAGGCUUUCGCCCAUUGCGGAAAAUUCCCUACUGCUGCCUCCCGUAGGAGUCUGGGCCGUGUCUCAGUCCCAGUGUGGCCGGUCACCCUCUCAGGUCGGCUACGCAUCGUCGCCUUGGUAGGCCUUUCCCCCGACCAACUAGCUAAUGCGCCGCGGGCCCAUCGAUUAGUGCUAGCCAAAAGCCAGCUUUCCCCUCUCCUUCAUGCGAAAAACGAGGCAUAUCCGGUAUUAGCUCCGGUUUUCCCGGAGUUAUCCCAGGCUGAUCGGUAGGUUACCCACGUGUUACUCACCCGUUCGCCGCUCGAUCCACACCCGAAGGUGCUUCUCGCGCUCGACUUGCAUGUAUUAGGCACGCCGCCAGCGUCUCGUCUAGCGAC